rnacentral:lncRNA from 1 species
GACAAGAUGGGAAAAGUUUGGUCCUCGUCUCAGGUUCUUCUGAGGGUUGAAGAAAGGGCGGGCCCUGUGCAGAAGAGGCCAGUAGGUGGGUGCUGCACUGAUGUUGACAGAUGUGAGUUUGGCUUUGGCAAAGCUGCACUUGGGUGUACAUUCCCAGCUGGAGCCAUCCCCCGUGUGGGCAUCUGUGCAGUGCUUAGGAAUGGGGCCAUGGGUUCUGGCCAGAAAUGCUCCUGCGCUUGGUGGCUGAGCCAGUCUUGACUUCCUCUGCACUCUGGAGAGUAAGCUCCGGGAGGGCCUGCCUGGGCCUCACACACAGCAGUGGGAAUGAAGAAACAUUCUGCCGCUGCUUCCCGACUCCCACCCAGACCCCUCCCUCACUGGGUGUGCUGAUGAAUGGAGCACCCCCAUCCAGGCCUCCAAGUGACCUUCUUCCCCAGCCUCUCAGCAGAUGCCUUCAGUUUACCAAACAGGCCACCGUGAGCUGUUUUAGUUCUUCUGUUGAAGAGCCAGACCCCUGGAGGAAGGCUGGGCAGGGGUCUGGGGCAGGAGGUGGGUCAAGGACACCUGCAGGUUGACAGGGUAUUGGGCAGGAGGAACCAGACCCACCUCUGAACACUUGUCUCCAGCGUCUUCCUCCCUGACGGCCCUGGUGUCUUGUCCUUCCUGGAUCCAAACAAUACAGCAUGUUGAAUAUACCCUCUGAAAUAAUAUGCUGGCAAACCCCUCCAAGAACAGGCUGAGGACCCACGAUGCCAGCAUGUGCGCCAUGACACAGCCAUCUGACUCCUCGAGGAGCUUCUUCAUGAGAACAUCAAGGUUGAGGAGGUUGGAAGCACAGCGGGUGUUCCACAGUUGCACACUCAAUGGCCCAUGUGGUGUUACUGUGUCUGAGUGUGGCCUGUAACCUAUGCCCACCUGUCAGGGCCUGGCAGGAAGGGAAUUCUUACCAGACUUGGACAUCAAACACUGGAUUCCCCCACCGGGCCCUGUGCCAACUUCCUUUCUCCUCUGGGAGAGCCUGGCCACAACAAGGCUUUCAUACCUGUCUCCCUUCUCUCUAAGACCCCUCCUCGGCCAAAGCACAGGAGCUCUGGCCUUGCAGGUCCGGUGACCCAUGGGUGUCUUUGCCUGGGUGACCCCUGAAAACCUGCAGGGUUGUCCGUCAGGCUGAGCUCAUCACCUGCCCUGGCCUGCCCCGCCCUCUUUCCCUCUUCUCUGUCAGUGGAAGCCCACCAGCCAGGUUAGAUACCUGACCUCACCUUCUCCCUCUCCUUCCACACCCAAUGUAUCCCCUUUGACCUCUGACUCGAACCCUCAUCUAUCCUAAAGGAAGCACUUUCACAAUGCUGGUGGGAAGGUGAACUAGUGUAUCCACUAUGGAAAACUGGAGAUUAAGAACUGAGAGUAGAACUACCAUUUGAUACAGCAACCCCACUGCUGGGUAUCUACCCAGAGGAAAAUAAGUCAUUGUAUGAAAAAGACCCUUGCAGCACAACUCACAAUUGCAAAAAUGUGGGACCACCACAAAUGCCUAUCCAUCGGUGAGUGAAUAAAGACUGUGGUAUAUGUACCUGAUGGAAUAGCAGUCAGCCAUAAAAAGGAGUGACUCGGUGGCAUUCACAGAAACCUAUGGAACUGGAGCCCAUCAUUCUAAGUGUAGUAACUUAACUCAGGAAUGGAAAACCAAACAUCGUGUGUUCUCACUCAUAAGUGGGAGCUAAGCUAUGAGGAUGCAAAGGUAUAAGAGUGACACAACGGACUUUGGGGACUCUGGGGGAAAGGGUGGGAAGGGGAUAGCUUGUAAUUCAGUGGGACUGUUUCUGUGUGCCCUGGUGGAAAGGUUUCGCUCUGGGGAAUGAGGAUCCCUGACCCUGCAGAAUACAGAGGUGUGGAAAUGGAAGCACCCAGUUCCCGGUGGGCCAGUGAGUGAUGAUGAGGGGACUCCUGCUUCUGUCCUUCGGCUCCUGGUCCCAUGUGCUUGUUCCACCUGUUGGGCAUACACUGUCACAGGCAGACACAAUGCAUGUGCUCGUCCUGGAGGAUGACCCCCAUGUGACAGAGUCCUGCCCUGGAACACCCCAUUCAGAAGCUGCAACCUGACCAUGUUGGCACUGCCAGCCACACUCUGGUGCUCAGUGGAGCCUUUGGCUGGCAGCGCCAACAUGGUCAGGCCUGCAGCUUCCGAAUGCAGUGUUCUGCGGUAGGGCCAGUGGGCCCUUGGUCCUGGGUUCUCUCCUACAGCUCUUCAGCUGCAAAGUGGUCCCCUGGUCUGAUGGGAUGUUGCAUGGGGUCCAUGCUGGCGGCUCAAGCACUAUGAAAGCUCUCACUUUGGUUGGUGUUGCUGAGGGCAGGAAAGGCCGUUUCACACCUGAGUAGGGUCUCUUCUGAUGAAAACAAACCAUCGACCCCUUUGUCUUAGUCCAUCUGGGCUGCUAUAACUCACUGCUACAGACUGGGUGGCUGAUAAACAAAAGAUACUUAUUUCUCACAGUUUUGGAGGCUGGAAAGGCCAAGAUGAAGGUGCUGGCAGAUUUGGUGUCUGGUGAGGGCCACUUCCUCAUCGAUAGCCACCUUCUCCCUGUCACCUCGUGUGGAAGAAGGGGUCAGGGACCUCUCUCGAUCUUCUUUAACAAGGGCACUAAUCCCAUUUGUGAGGGUUCCACCCUUGUGACCUCAUCACCUCUCAAAGGCCCGCCUCCUAAUAUCAUCCCCUUUGGGGUUACAAUUUCAAUGUACGAAUGUUGUCAGGAGACAUGGAUUCAGAUGACUGCACCCUUCUAAGAUGGAAUCGCCCAUGUGGACAAGGUGCCUCUACAUGGCUGGUUGGCUUCCUCCAAGGAUAGUGCCUUAUGGGGGUCAGCAAUGGUCUCUAAUGCAGUAAAGCGGAUAUUCCGGGGUGGCAGUAGCUAGAUCAGGUUUGAUAAAUGAGAGUCCAUGCUGUUGGGCCCACGUGUCCCCUGCAAGUUUGGUUACCGUGAUGACUUCAUUCACAUGCCCAUCAUGCCAGCACUGAGAUGAAGGACAGAGGUUGGCUGAUGUCAGAUGGCUGGGUCAUCUUGCCAAGAGGACUUGGCUGUUGAGGGCCCCUCUCAGGGUAGCUGUUUUCUGGUGGGAUUACGUGAUCUGCUCCCAUAGGUACAUCCUCUACCUCAGAAUUUCCUGUCCUUAAUCUUCCAAUUUUUUUCUUUUCAAGAUCCUAACCAGCUUGCCAGGCUACCCGUUGCCAGCCAUGAGCCUACAGAUUCUCUGCUGCUUCUGGCUGCUUCUCUUUCCACACAGAAUGGAUUUCCACCUGGCCUUCUUGGCCUUAUGACUCGUCGGGUCUGAUGAAGCUGCACGGCCACUUGGCAUGACCUGCUCAGGCAUUCUGCCUCUAUUAUACAGAGACAGAAGGCACUCCAGUGGCAUUCAGAGAAUUGUUCUCAGAAAGUGUAAUUCCCUGUGCAAAUGGUACGGCCUUGCCCCAGAAGCCCAGGGGCUGACGUAGCGAUUCUCCUACUUCAGUUCACCAUAAACUCCGAUGACAUAUUUUUCUGCUGCAGAUUCUUCCAUCCCAGUAGAGUCUGCUGGAUCCUAUAGCCCGAGCCACAGGACUGCUUGCACAGCAGCCUGAACCUGCUGCAGAGCCCUUUCCCAAUCUGGGCCCCACUCAAAGCUAGUGACCUUGUGCUUACCCCAGGAUGUGGGCUGGCACAGUAUUGCUAGGGGUGUGAGGUGUGCUCCCCCUAGAACCUGAACUCAUCAGCACUGUCCUUUCUUCUCUGUAAAGAGAUACAGGUUGCAACAAUUUGACUUUCCCUUGGAAGGAUGUUCUGACCACGACACCCCUAAAAAGGAUCAAUACGUGGCGGGCCCCUGAGACUUCAGGGAAUUCACCUCCCACCUUCUGGAGUGUAUGGAUCUUACCAAGGCCUCGAGUGGUCUGGCUCCUUCUUGCCUAACUGCUGCAGUCAACAUGAUGUCAUUGAUGAGACAGAUCACUCUGCUUUUCUGUGGGACAUCAAAAUGAUCCAGACGCUUCUGCUUCUAUAACCACAGAGGGCAGGAGACCUAGCACAGGCCCGGAGCUAACUGCAAAUGUAUAUCGUUCUCCAUUCCAUGCGAACGGGAACUAUUUCUGAUCCUCCUUUAUGAUUGGGAUAGAACAAAAUGCAUUUGUCAAACCAGUGGCUGCAUACCACAUCUUUGAGGCCAUGGUAACCUGCUCUAGCAAAGGUACCACCUGCAGUGUGGUGAUGCGGUCCAGGCUCCUUCUCAGUGGAGCGAAGGUAGUUUACACCAUCCUCCAGGAUCUUGUGGGUUAAAAAGACACAUGAUGGGAACCAGCACCCCUGCCCCCUUUAUCUCCUUAAAGGUGGUGCUAAUUCCCAUCAUCCCCCUUUCCUGGAAUGUGCUGUUGUUUCUGAUUUAUUACACUGCUCAAGGCGGAGUUCGUUUCUAAGGCUUCCACUUGGCGUUCCCCAUUUCAAAAGCUCUCACCCCACAGACCAAGGAUCCAAGGUGGAGAUCGCACCAAUUGUUCAGUGUGCCGGUUCCAGCUAUUCCUUUGGGGGUCAAAGAAACCAAUUCCCAGCGACUCAGGGGCUUGAUAGUGAGGUGGCCCUUGGAAAGGGCUCCACGAUCGACCUGGUGUCUGUCAUCCCCACUCCAGGAGGGCCGGGGAUGCCUCAUGUCUCUAGUCAAAGUCAGUUCAGGUUUGGUCCCCAACGGACUUCAGAAUGUUUGGUUAUUGGCUCUAUUAGCCAUGUGUGAUCGGCUGACUGAAUGACCAAACCCCCCUCUGGGGGGAAAACUGGG